GAAGGUGGCAAGCGUUAUUCGGAUUUACUGGGCGUACAGGGAGCGUAGGCGGUUCGGUAAGCCCUCUGUGAAAUCUUCAGGCUUAACCUGGAAAAGUCGGAGGGGACUGCUGGGCUAGAGGACGGGAGAGGAGCGCGGAAUUCCCGGUGUAGCGGUGAAAUGCGUAGAGAUCGGGAGGAAGGCCGGUGGCGAAGGCGGCGCUCUGGAACGUUUCUGACGCUGAGGCUCGAAAGCGUGGGGAGCAAACAGGAUUAGAUACCCUGGUAGUCCACGCCUUAAACUAUGAAUACUAAGUGUCGGCGGUUUACCGCCGGUGCCGCAGCUAACGCAUUAAGUAUUCCGCCUGGGAAGUAUGGCCGCAAGGUUG
rnacentral:rRNA from 1 species